GAUGAACGCUAGCGGCAGGCCUAACACAUGCAAGUCGAGGGGCAUCAUGGCGUAGCAAUACGCUGAUGGCGACCGGCGCACGGGUGCGUAACGCGUAUGGAACCUACCCACCGCAGGGGGAUAACCCGCCGAAAGGCGGACUAAUACCCCAUGGUUCCCCGACCCUGCCUGGGGUUGGGGGUAAAGCCUACGGGCAGCGGUGGAUGGCCCUGCGUGCCAUUAGCUGGCUGGUGGGGUAACGGCCCACCAGGGCGACGAUGGCUAGGGGGUCUGAGAGGACGAUCCCCCACACUGGUACUGAGACACGGACCAGACUCCUACGGGAGGCAGCAGUGAGGAAUAUUGGACAAUGGUCGGAAGACUGAUCCAGCCAUGCCGCGUGAAGGUUACUGUCCUAUGGAUAUUAAACUUCUUUUUUACGGGUAGUCAAUAAGGUGCACGCGUGCAUCGAUGAGAGUACCGUACGAAUAAGCAUCGGCUAACUCCGUGCCAGCAGCCGCGGUAAA
rnacentral:rRNA from 1 species